rnacentral:snRNA from 1 species
GUGCACCCUUGGGCAGCACAUAUACUAAAAUUGGAAUGAUAGAAAAUUAACAUAGCUCCUGUGCAAGGAUGACACACAAAUUAAAUGAAACAUUCCAUAAUUUU